GACGUAGGGCGCGAGCGUUGUCCGGAUUUAUUGGGCGUAAAGAGCUCGUAGGCGGCUUGUCGCGUCGACUGUGAAAUCCCGCGGCUCAACCCCGCGCUUGCAUUCGAUACGGGCAGGCUCGAGUUCGGUAGGGGAGACUGGAAUUCCUGGUGUAGCGGUGAAAUGCGCAGAUAUCAGGAGGAACACCGGUGGCGAAGGCGGGUCUCUGGGCCGAUACUGACGCUGAGGAGCGAAAGCGUGGGGAGCGAACAGG
rnacentral:rRNA from 1 species